CCUACGGGAGGCAGCAGUGGGGAAUUUUCCGCAAUGGGCGCAAGCCUGACGGAGCAAUACCGCGUGAGGGAUGACGGCCUAUGGGUUGUAAACCUCUUUUUCAGGGAGGAAUCAAUGACGUGUACCUGAAGAAGAAGCAUCGGCUAACUCCGUGCCAGCAGCCGCGGUAAU
rnacentral:rRNA from 1 species